GUUCCAGUGGCUUAGUGGUUAGAGCAUCCACCUCAGAUGCGGGAGGUUGCAGGUUUAAACCCAAACUGAGUUUUACA